rnacentral:piRNA from 1 species
UGGGAUUAAAAGUAUGUGCCACCCUGCCU